rnacentral:sRNA from 1 species
AACCCUCAGGCUCGUCAAAAUCUGCACUGUACGGUCCACAGCUCUCUGCAAGUUGACAUCAUCACCACCACCGUCCAUCCAUCACUGUUUUCAGUUUUCCUUCCGUUUCAAAAUGAUACAUUGACAUUCCUUUGUUGCCAGCGCUGGCAAACAAAUAUUGAAUUUAUUCUCAUAUAUGUAUCAUCAUACGACCCUUCACUCAUGAUAGAAUAAAGUUCCUUCACUUGGGUUUUAGAUUCUCCGGUUAAAUCAGGUGGUGGAUUCAUUAUCGGUGGCUUCUUCUGAUUGAAACAGUAGUUUUGGAUUGAUAAGAGCCUGUGAUUGGAAUGACUCAGAUGCUAAGCAGCAUGUUCGCUCACACAUGCCAUAUGAGAAAGAAGCGACCUUCUUUCUCAUCAGAUCCGUCUACACUGGC